CGUCGUGUAGCUUAGUUGGUUUGAGCGCUCGCCUCAUAAGCGAGAGGACGGUGGUUCGAUACCACCCACGACGACCA
rnacentral:tRNA from 1 species